ACCUAUACCAGGUAAAGGAGCUGGCAUCAGGCGCAUCCAAUUGCCCACAACGCCUAGUCUUACCACACCCCCAAGGGUAGUCAGCAGUGAUAAAUCUUGUAUAUAAGCGACAGCUUGACUCAGUUAUAGAAAAUAGGGCUGGCCAACCCGGUGCCAGCCGCCGCGGCUAAACCGCUGGAGCCCAAGUUGAUAGUCAUCGGCGUUAAGCGUGAUUAAAGUCCUAAAUAAGUUAGGGUUAAAUUAAUGCCUAGUAGUAAUAAGCUUGUAAUUAAGAAAACCACAAACGAAAGUUACCCUAAUUACUCUUGAAUACACGAUAGCUAGGAACCAAACUGGGAUUAGAUACCCCACUAUGCCUAGCCGUAAACAAUUAACUCACAAUAAUAAACGCCAGGGAACUACGAGCUAUGCUUAAAACCCAAAGGACUUGACGGUGUCCCAUACCAACUAGAGGAGCCUGUUCUAUAAUCGAUGAUCCCCGCUAUACCUAACCAUCCCUUGCUUUAUCAGCCUGUAUACCUCCGUCACAAGCCUACCAUGUGAACGCUCAGUGGGCCCAAUGACCAACAUGUCAGGUCAAGGUGCAGCUCACGAAAUGGUAAGUAAUGGGCUACAAUUUCUAAUCUAGAACAAACGGAAGACUAUGUGAAAUCAUAGCCUGAAGGCGGAUUUAGCAGUAAAAAGAAAAUAGAGUGUUCUUUUUAACCCGGCCCUGG
rnacentral:rRNA from 1 species